rnacentral:rRNA from 1 species
AACGCGAAGAACCUUACCCAGGCUCGAAAUGUAAUGGACAGUACCAGAAAUGGUAUGUUCCGCAAGGACUGUUAUAUAGGUGCUGCAUGGCUGUCGUCAGCUCGUGCCGUGAGGUGUUUGGUUAAGUCCAGCAACGAGCGCAACCCUUAUCAUUAGUUGCCAACACGCGAGGUGGGGACUCUAAUGAGACUGCCUGGGUUAACCAGGAGGAAGGUGAGGAUGACGUCAAGUCCGCAUGGCCUUUAUGUCUGGGGCUACACACGUGCUACAAUGGUCGGUACAGAAGGCAGCAAGACCGCAAGGUGGAGCAAAUCCGUAAAGCCGAUCACAGUUCAGAUUGUAGUCUGCAACUCGACUACAUGAAGUUGGAAUUGCUAGUAAUGACGAGUCAGCAACAUCGUCGUGAAUACGUUCCCGGGCCUUGUACACACCGAUAGC